UGGUAACCAUAGCGUUUUGGACCCACCUGACCCCAUGCCGAACUCAGUAGUGAAACGAAACAGCGCCGAUGAUAGUGUAGCAUUUGC
rnacentral:rRNA from 3 species